GUUAGUUGCCAGCGGGGUAAAUGCCCGGGAUCUCUAACGAAACUGCCGGCGUAAACCGGAGGAAGGUGGGGAUGACGUCAAAUCAGCACGGCCCUUAUGUCCAGGGCUACACACGUGUUACAAUGGCCGAUACAACGGGCAGCCACCUGGUGACAGGGAGCUAAUCCUAAAAGUCGGUCUCAGUUCGGAUCGAAGUCUGCAACCCGACUUCGUGAAGCUGGAUUCGCUAGUAAUCGCAGAUCAGCCAUGCUGCGGUGAAUACGUUCCCGGGCCUU
rnacentral:rRNA from 1 species